GCCGGAGUGGCGGAAUGGCAGACGCACGCGACUCAAAAUCGCGCGGGAGCAAUCCCAUGAGAGUUCGACUCUCUCCUUCGGCACCA
rnacentral:tRNA from 6 species